rnacentral:rRNA from 1 species
GACAGGGGAUACAAGCGUUACUCGGAAUCACUGGGCGUAAAGCGUCUGUAGGUGCUUUCGUAAGUCUGAGGUAAAAGUCCGGGGCUCAACCCCGGAAGCGUCUUGGAAACUACGAGAGUUGAGCAGUGGAGAGGUAUCUGGAAUGUCGCAUGUAGGAGUAAAAUCCGUAGAUAUGCGAUGGAACGCCAAAAGCGAAGGCAGGAUACUAGCCACUUGCUGACACUGAGAGACGAAAGCGUGGGGAGCGAAGGGG